UGGACGAAAGUCUGACGGAGCAACGCCGCGUGAGUGAUGAAGGCUUUCGGGUCGUAAAACUCUGUUGUUAGGGAAGAACAAGUGCUAGUUGAAUAAUCUGGCACCUUGACGGUACCUAACCAGAAAGCCACGGCUAACUACUUGCCAGCAGCCGCGGAAAUACGUAGGUGGCAAGCGUUAUCCGGAAUUAUUGGGCGUAAAGCGCGCGCAGGUGGUUUCUUAAGUCUGAUGUGAAAGCCCACGGCUCAACCGUGGAGGGUCAUUGGAACCUGGGAGACUUGAGUGCAGAAGAGGAAAGUGGAAUUCCAUGUGUAGCGGUGAAAUGCGUAGAGAUAUGGAGGAACUCCAGUGGCGAAGGCGACUUUCUGGUCUGUAACUGACACUGAGGCGCGAAAGCGUGGGGAGCAAACAGGAUUAGAUACCCUGGUAGUCCACGCCGUAAACGAUGAGUGCUAAGUGUUAGAGGGUUUCCGCCCUUUAGUGCUGAAAGUUAACGCAUUAAGCACUCCGCCUGGGGAGUACGGCCGCAAGGCUGACUCUCAARGAAUUUGACGG
rnacentral:rRNA from 1 species